UGAUGGAAUUUGGCGCUUGGAC
rnacentral:piRNA from 1 species